CCAAGCGCUCUUGCGACGAGGGGAAUGCCACGCCGCUCUCCAACUCACACUUGCUAUAUCUAUAUCCAUAUCUAUGUAUAUCAUGGCUGCCGCCUCUCCGACGGAGCUCCCGUCCCCGCCCUCUUGAUGGCCUCCGCCGUUCCUGCGCCGCUCCUCUCCGGCCAUAGAGUGAGAGGGACGCUCGUCCAACGCCUCCUCCGCCGUCCUCUCCCUCCCACCUCCGCCCUAAGAGCAGCCGGCCGUAGGGCUUCUUGGAGAGCUCCUCCUCGCCGCCUCUUCCUCGGCCUCGGCGCCGUCUUCCUCGACCAGUUCGCCCGGAUGGCCUCCGGCAGCGGCGGUCACUCUUUCACCGCAACGGCGCGGCCCGAACGGGGAGUCUCUCCCGUCGAACAGGUACUGAAGAACGUGGAGUGGCCGGAGAAGUUUCCGUUCAAGGACGAGGAUUUCGCCCGCUUCGACGAAUCCCCAGAUUCCUUAUUCUACUCAGAACCUCGUUUUGUUACGCAUAUUGACGAUCCAGCAAUUCAUGCUCUUACCAAUUAUUAUUCAAAAGUUUUUCCUCCAAGUAAUUCUCCGGGUGUGUGCCUGCUAGAUUUAUGUAGCAGCUGGGUUAGCCAUUACCCAGCAGGAUACAGACAGGAUAGGAUUGUAGGGAUGGGUAUGAAUGAAGAAGAACUGAAGCAAAAUCCAGUUUUGACAGAGUAUAUUGUACAAGACCUAAAUGUGAACCCCAAACUUCCUUUUGAUGAUAAUACUUUUGAUGUCAUAACCAAUGUGGUUAGCGUUGAUUACAUGACCAAACCUAUUGAAGUUUUUAAGGAGAUGCAGCGGAUUCUCAAACCUGGAGGUUUGGCUAUAAUGAGUUUCUCGAAUCGUUGCUUUUGGACAAAAGCCAUCUCUAUUUGGACAUCAACUGGUGAUGUUGACCAUGCUUGGAUUGUUGGGUCCUAUUUUCAUUAUGCUGGAGGUUUUGAACCAUCUACGGCUGUUGACAUAUCUCCCAACCCUGGGCGUUCGGAUCCCAUGUAUGCUGUGUAUUCUAGAAAGCUAGAAACUGCAUAAAGACCUAUAUUUUACUCUAAGUUCAGGGAAAGAAGAGCUUGGAAUCUACCAAAAAAAAAAAUCGAAAGAAGAGCUUAAAAGGUGAGAUAGCUUGCAUGAAGCAAUAUUUAUCAAGUCGCAGUCCUGGCAUUUGAAAGAGAGCAUGGCCCAUUUCAAACAACAAGAAAAUCUUGAGGCCUAAGGGCGCAACCCUUUUCUCUUGCAGCCCUAUUCUCCAACUACGUCUAUUAUUUCUUCAUUCAUUUAACAGAUGGGGGGACAUCAUUUAUCGAGGUGACAUGAGUGGUUUGCUGAUGGAUCAGCCUGAAAAUUGAGGUAGAUGUGUGCCUCACCUAUAUUUCCAUUCAGAAGUCAGAACAGAUUCAAUUCAGUGAUCUUGUCUUAAAGUUGUUCAUUUAAUUUUCGGACCAGCAAAUCUACUAUGUUUCCAACUUUCAAGAAUAAAAUAGGACACCUUUUUAACUGGAUGGUGUAUCCAAUCAA